CCCUUAGAUGUUCUGGGCCGCACGCGCGCUACACUGAUGCAUUCAACGAGUCUAAAACCUGCUCUGAUAGGGGUGGGUAAUCUUUUGAAUGUGCAUCGUGAUUGGGAUAGAUGACUGCAAUUUUUCAUCUUCAACGAGGAAUGCCUAGUAAACGCAAGUCAUCAGCUUGCAUUGAUUACGUCCCUGCCCUUUGUACACACCGCCCGUCGCUCCUACCGAUUGAAUGAUCCGAUGAAUAUCAUGGAUUGAGGAUUAUAGCAGGUUCGCCUGUCUUGAUCUUCGAGAAGUGAAGUAAAUCUUAUCAUUUAGAGGAAGGAGAAGUCGUAACA
rnacentral:rRNA from 1 species